AAUGCCAAACCUCUAACUGGUUAGAAACACCACCUGGGGGCACAGAGAUUUGUCAGCGUGACUGAUGCUUCCUGCUUAAAUGCAACAGUGUGCAGACACUUAUGCAGAAGAGAAACAGGCUGGGAGCCGGAAGAGGCAGUGUCUGGGGAGAGUUUGAAAAGCUCCGCUUGCAUCUAGUCACGCAUCUAGUGCUCUGCAGUGUGCAUCUCUAAAGGCAAGACCAGCCAUCGUCCUUUUAUGAAUGAGAAGCCAAGACCCAGAGACACUGAGGAUUUUUCUAAAAUUGAACAGCUGGGAUUUGAACCCUCAAAUGUUAUACUGAAGGGUGUCUCACAUCCAGGAAAUAAACACACACAGUAG
rnacentral:lncRNA from 1 species